GGUCAAAGUAGUAAGACAUGGACAGGUAAA
rnacentral:piRNA from 1 species